GAGACACCCUUCUGGGGCAAGACUUGCUCCAGUGGGGCUUUGGUGCUCACUGAAUCUGCCCCCUGAGUGUGUCCCU
rnacentral:pre_miRNA from 1 species